rnacentral:rRNA from 1 species
CACGUAGUUAGCCGUGGCUUUCUGAUUAGGUACCGUCAAGAUGUGCACAGUUACUUACACAUUUGUUCUUCCCUAAUAACAGAGUUUUACGAGCCGAAACCCUUCAUCACUCACGCGGCGUUGCUCCGUCAGGCUUUCGCCCAUUGCGGAAGAUUCCCCACUGCUGCCUCCCGUAGGAGUCUGGACCGUGUCUCAGUUCCAGUGUGGCCGAUCACCCUCUCAGGUCGGCUACGUAUCGUCGCCUUGGUAAGCCGUUACCUUACCAACUAGCUAAUACGGCGCGGGUCCAUCUAUAAGUGAUAGCAAAACCAUCUUUCACUUUAGAACCAUGCGGUUCUAAAUGUUAUCCGGUAUUAGCUCCGGUUUCCCGAAGUUAUCCCAGUCUUAUAGGUAGGUUACCCACGUGUUACUCACCCGUCCGCCGCUAACUUCAAAGGAGCAAGCUCCUUAUCUGUUCGCUCGACUUGCAUGUAUUAGGCACGCCGCCAGCGUUCAUCCUGAGCCAGGAUCAAACUCU